rnacentral:rRNA from 1 species
UACAGAGGUCUCAAGCGUUGUUCGGAUUCAUUGGGCGUAAAGGGUGCGUAGGCGGCGCGGUAAGUCGGAUGUGAAAUCUCGGAGCUUAACUUCGAAACUGCAUUCGAUACUGCCGUGCUUGAGGACUGGAGAGGAGACUGGAAUUUACGGUGUAGCGGUGAAAUGCGUAGAUAUCAGGAGGAACACCCGUGGCGAAGGCGGCUUUCUGGGACGGUACUGACGCUGAGACGCGAAAGCGUGGGGAGCGAACAGG